rnacentral:rRNA from 1 species
AAUCCUGGCUCAGGAUGAACGCUAGCGGCAGGCCUAANACAUGCAAGUCGAGGGGCAUCGGGAUUGAAGCUUGCUUCAAUUGCCGGCGACCGGCGCACGGGUGCGUAACGCGUAUGUAACCUACCUAUAACAGGGGCAUAACACUGAGAAAUUGGUACUAAUUCCCCAUAAUAUUCGGAGAGGCAUCUCUCCGGGUUGAAAAACUCCGGUGGUUAUAGAUGGACAUGCGUUGUAUUAGCUAGUUGGUGAGGUAACGGCUCACCAAGGCAACGAUACAUAGGGGGACUGAGAGGUUAACCCCCCACACUGGUACUGAGACACGGACCAGACUCCUACGGGAGGCAGCAGUGAGGAAUAUUGGUCAAUGGACGCAAGUCUGAACCAGCCAUGCCGCGUGCAGGAAGACGGCUCUAUGAGUUGUAAACUGCUUUUGUACGAGGGUAAACUCACCUACGUGUAGGUGACUGAAAGUAUCGUACGAAUAAGGAUCGGCUAACUCCGUG